rnacentral:misc_RNA from 1 species
ACGCAACAGAGGGGAAGAGGAAGCUUCGUCCAGGAGUUGGAAGCAUGUGGAAUGGUUGCAGUGCAGGCCACGCGUACGCACGCUUCUUCCGGUGCGGCUGUCAGUGAGGCUGAGUCCAUGGACCAAGAGCAGAUGCAGCAAAAGCAGGGGGCUGCCUGGGGAGGAAACUGCUGGACAGUGGAGAGAGACGACGUCGGAUGCAAAUCAAAGCGUGGUUCGGUAUGGAAAAAUGACGAAAAGGGGGCAGUGAGAUGCCUGAAGUACGGGAUGCUGCCGCUGUAUUUUUUUUUUUCCUUUUGUAUUUUUAGCGUGGGGAACAAAUCUCAGUCCAACAAUCUUUAGCUAACGUAUUUUUUUUAAAGAAAGCACCUUCUAUAUUCUUUUCCCCACGUCUAGCUACACAUUUAAAAAAAAUCACGUACUCUGCUGGCGGCGGUUAAAUAAUUAAGUCG